AUUGAACGCUGGCGGCAGGCCUAACACAUGCAAGUCGAGCGGAUGAAGGGAGCUUGCUCCUGGAUUCAGCGGCGGACGGGUGAGUAAUGCCUAGGAAUCUGCCUGGUAGUGGGGGAUAACGUCCGGAAACGGGCGCUAAUACCGCAUACGUCCUGAGGGAGAAAGUGGGGGAUCUUCGGACCUCACGCUAUCUGAUGAGCCUAGGUCGGAUUAGCUAGUUGGUGGGGUAAAGGCCUACCAAGGCGACGAUUCGUAACUGGUCUGAGUGGAUGAUCAGUCACACUGGAACGGAGACACGGUCCAGGCUCCUACGGGAGGCAGCAGUGGGGAAUAUUGGACAAUGGGCGAAAGCCUGAUCCAGCCAUGCCGCGUGUGUGAAGAAGGUCUUCGGAUUGUAAAGCACUUUAAGUUGGGAGAAAGGGCAGUAAGUUAAUACCUUGCUGUUUUGACGUUACCAACAGAAUAAGCACCGGCUAACUUCGUG
rnacentral:rRNA from 1 species